GAUGAAGAACGUAGCGAAAUGCGAUAAGUAAUGUGAAUUGCAGAAUUCAGUGAAUCAUCGAAUCUUUGAACGCACAUUGCGCACGCCAGUAUUCUGGCGGGCAUGCCUGUUCGAGCGUCAUUUCAACCAUCAAGCCCCCGGGCUUGUGUUGGGGACCUGCGGCUGCCCGCAGGCCCUGAAAACCAGUGGCGGGCUCGCUGUCACACCGAGCGUAGUAGCAUAUCAUCUCGCUCUGGGCGUGCUGCGGGUUCCGGCCGUUAAAGCCUUUUUUUUUUACCCAAGGUUGACCUCGGAUCAGGUAGGAAGACCCGCUGAACUUAAGCAUAUCAAUAAGCGGAGGA
rnacentral:misc_RNA from 1 species